GGGGCCGUAGUCGAGCCUGGUAAGAUGUGCGGCUUGGGCCCGCAAGAUCCCGGGUUCAAAUCCCGGCGGCCCCA
rnacentral:tRNA from 1 species